AGCCUUACUUUCAGCUUUUCUUCUGCAGCUCUCUCACCUAGCUCAGCCUUCACAGAAUUGAAGAGAAUUAUGACCUUGCUCUGACUAGGCUUUGGCUUAUGCGAAUGUUGUGACUGAUUUGAUCUUCUAUCCAGACCACUCAGACUUUCUCCAUAUCAGCAAUAAGGCUGUUUUGCUUUCUUAUCAUUUAUGUGUUCACUGGAGUAGCACUUAUUUCCUUCAAGAACUUUUCCUUUGCAUUCACAACUUGGUUAACAGGCACAAGAGACCUAGCUUGUGGCCUAGCUCAGCUUUUGACAUGUCUUCCUCUCAAAGCUCAAUCAUUUCUAGCUUUUGAUUUAAAGUGAGAGAUGUACUACUCUUUCUUUCACUUGAACAGUUAGAGGCCAAUGUAGGGUUAUGAAUUGUCCUAAUUUCAAUAUUGCUGAGUCUCAGGGACUAGAGAGGCCCAAGGAGAGGGAGAGAGAUGUGGGAACAGCCGGUUGGUAGAGCUGUCAGAACACGCACAACAUGUAGCGAUUGAAUUUGCCGCCUUCUAUGGGUGCAGUUCAUGGUGCCCCAAAGCAAUUACAAUAGCAACAUCGAAGACCCCUGAUCACAGAUCACCAUAACUGUAUCAUAAUGUUGAAAUUUUGAAUUGUUGCCAGAAUUACCAAAAUGCGACACAGAAACAGGCAGUGAGAGCACACGUUCUCACAGGGUUGCCACCGACUUUCAAUUCGUAAAAACUGCAGUAUCUGUGAAGUACAGUGAAGUGAGAAGCAGUAAAGGGAGGUAUUUCUGUGCUGUAAUCAGUCAUGAAUUAGACGGGCUUUUCUGGAUUCACUUGGGAAUCCAGCGUUGGGUGAUAUGUGUGUAAGGAAAUAUAGUCUCAGUUUUAAACAACCACUUUACAAAUGAAUAUGUGGAGCACAACCCAUUUAUCAUGUGAGGAUUAUCCAGGUGAAACUGCCCUUACCAAAGUCAUCUUUUGACUCCUCUGGGAAUGAUUCUUCCUUGUACGUGUUCCUCAGGGCCCUAAGUCUACUUGCUGCUUGUCUAUUGACCAUGUUUUCUUAUUGAAUGCCUACAAAAGUUAAGUGAUGAAUAAAAAGAGAAGGAUGCAUUUAAACCACUUCUGCUAUUUGGAAAUUCUGCAUAAUCCCUUAGUUUGGUGAAGAGUGAUCUAUCUCAACAAGGCAGUUUUGGUUUAAACGGUGCAUUUUCUUUCUCCAUUUUCCCUCUGAUCCCCAAUGCCAUGACUAAUUAAGUUAUGAAAAGCCCUUCAGUUGCUUGGAGAGAAGGGUGCUUAUGGAAUCUGCACACAUUUUUGAAAUAAAUGGCGAGGCAAAUUGCAUCAACUUUCCUUCUUUCCUUGAUCCAUUUUUUGCAGGUUUCUGAGCUUCCUUUGGGGGCUUCAUGAAUGCUGCAUGUCUAACAAAUGUAGCACAAAAUAGUAGGGUCUAAUAAAGCCAACGUGUGUGCUUAUUUCUAUUUUCCAGGCACAUACUGCACGCGUAACCAGGGGCAGUACCUUCCUCAUGGAUUCCAGCACUACAGCUUUGUGCCAUCUGCAUCCCUUCAGACCUUUACGGGUGAAAGGCAUUGGGUGUUGUGAAGAGUCAGGACAUACGAAAACAAAGAAGACGUGGUCUCUUCCUUCAAGAUGCUCACAGUCUAGUCGUGGGAGAGAGAAUGAAACCAUUAGUACUAACAAUUGUGACUACGUGCAACAGUUGCUGGUAGAAGAACAUCAACUCAGUCCUGGACCAAGCUGGGGAGGAAGCAGGGGCACUGCUCUUCCUUAGAAAGAUGAUGUUUGAGACAGUGAGAGAAAACAUGGAGUGAUGAGA
rnacentral:lncRNA from 1 species